CCUUAACUUCAAUUCGACCAAGUCGGGUUGAAAAUCGCAAUAGGGGCGUAAGGCAAUUCAACUUCAGAUCAACCAAACUCUUUUUCGGUAUUUGCAAACUUCAACUAAGUUCAGUCGAAGUAUGAUUGGCGUUGCCAACCUAAGAAAGGGAAUUUUGACAGAUAGUGAAAGAGCUAAAAUUUUGUAAACGACAUAUUUAAACAAUUGAAUUCAGUUGUCGCUCGCGAAAAAGUGAACAAACACUAAAAUAAAUAAAAAAUGGAUAUAAGUUUUGAUUUAUAUUACAAUGACGAAAAUAUUGGGGGCAAAAUUGAUGUGCUACGUAUACGAAAAAGCCUUCGUGAUCACUCAAAUCCGUUGGAGCUUCCAAAUGCAAAGUAAGCCAUAGUUUUUUCACAAUUGAGUGGCUUUUUAAUAAUAUUUGUUGCAGAUUCAUAAGUUAUUUUCGAUUAAAUAAAGAAGCAUUUUUUUUUUCUGAAUGAGAUGAAGGAACAUUUCCACAGACGUGUGCGAGGAACGGCCAUACCUCCUAUAUUAAAAUUAUGCGCAACUCUGCGUUUCCUUGCUGACGGUGGUUAUCAAAAAUGCAGUGGAAAUGAUUUUAACAUUGGGUUGGCGCAACCUACGAUAUCUUUGGUAAUUAAAGAGGUUCUAAAUAUAAUUGAACAACGUAUUUGUGCCCAAUGGAUUAAAAUUCAAAUGACUGAGGAGGAGCAAAACGCUUCAAAAGUUUCAUUUUAUUCAAAAAGUGCUUUCCCGGAAGUAGUUGGUUGCAUCGACGGGACUCAUGUUCGCAUAAUUUCACCAAGAAAAGAAGUGCAACAUCUUUAUCUUAACAGAAAGGGCUACUACAGUUUAAACGUGAUGAUUCUUUGUGAUUAUAAAAUGUAUUCGGUAUGUGGAUGCUAGGCAUACAGGCGCAAAUUAUGACUCUUUUGUUUUCAAUGUUAGCGAUUUGAAAGUGCAUUUACAGAACAACAUAUAGAAUAACACUUGGAUCUUGGCCUGGGUUGAAAGGAGUUGCAGCCUUUUGGACUCCAUGCAAUUGUUCGCCCUCCUUAACUGAACUCUCCUGGAAGGAGUCGGGCGUUCCUGCAUAACUGGAGUGGACAAUGGCAAACGUUCAAGGGACAUAUCGGCGACAGUAGGAGGUAUAUUCUCCACACCAAAUGCUUGCCCACUUGGUGCAACUGCUUCCCUUAAUUGAAUAAGCUGGGCCACGCUCUCUUCCACUGGGCUCAGCGACUGCUCUUGCGACGGUCCACCACCAGUCGCAAGUUAAUGGGCCUAAUCAUUGAAUCCGUUUCGAUCGAAAUAUGGUUCGAGAUGAUCGAAAAAAUUUGCGUUGAAAUCAUUGAAACCGUAUCGAAAAUAAAAUUUUCGAUCGAAGUGAACUCACUUACCGACUUGAUAAAAUGCUUUCCGCGGCACAUAGAUGUCGCUAAUUUCAAAUCAUUGCUACCGCAAUAUCGAAAAUUUGUGUCGAAAUCAAUCCGUUGGUGAGUGCGUUGCGGAAUUCUUACAAAAAUGGAUAAUUUAGAUAAGAGACAAAAACACACCAACAAAAAAAAAAUUUGAAGUAAGUGAAAUGAAGCUGCACCCCGACAUAGCGAAAGGAUUUUCGCAAAGAGCACCAGGCGAAUUGAAUCAUUUUUGGGAAGAAAUUUCAAACAAAUUAAACGCAGUAGAUCCCCCAAUCAAGGACAGAACUGAAUGGAAGAAGGUUUGGACAGAUUUCAAGUUUGCGACGAAGAAAAAAAUGGUCAAAAAUGCAAAGCAAAUUUCAGGAACAGGAGGUGGGCCCUUCAGCCAAAUUUCUUUAAGUGCACUGGAAGAGGAAGUGAGUGUUAUUCUAUCACUCAAUGCAUCAGCGGAGGGAUUAAAGGGCAUUACAAGUUUUGGAUGCUCAAAAGAAAAUAUUCCGGAAGAAAUACCAACAACAAGUACUCCCCGCAAAAGACCGGUUGAGUCAAUUUAUUCCCAGCCUGACAUUGACUUGAUUGAAACGUCAUAUAUGACUCCUGGCCAGACCAUAGAAUCUAAUGCAGAUGCUGAUGUGUUCUGUACCCCACAUAAAAAGAGUAAAAUAAACAAAAUGGGUCUUCUUACAGAACAAAUAAAUAUUCAAAAAAAGAUGGAGGAAAAUGUAUUUAAAUUGUUAGCCACGCUCUUUAAACAUCAAAAAGACUAUAUCCAAGAAAGUCCGACACAAACAGGUGGCUUAGGAAACUAAGUGAAAAUGAGAAGGAUAAAUUGAAAGAAAUGAAGCGACAUAAUGCUGUCAUGGAAAAAAUAGCCUUUGAUAAAUUGGAAA